UACAGAGGGGGCAAGCGUUAUUCGGAAUUAUUGGGCGUAAAGGGUGCGUAGGUGGCUUGGUAAGUUUGAUGUGAAAUCUCCGGGCUUAACCCGGAAAUGGCAUUGAAUACUAUUGAGCUGGAGGUUUGGAGGGGGGACUGGAAUUCCUGGUGUAGCGGUGAAAUGCGCAGAUAUCAGGAGGAACACCAGUGGCGAAGGCGGCUCACUGGCCAGAUACUGACGCUGAGGCACGAAAGCGUGGGGAGCAAACAGG
rnacentral:rRNA from 1 species